GAGCACAAAACGAGAAAGUAACACGAAAGCAGCGGUAUCUACUAGUGCUCACUUUCACGUAGGAUGUAGUAGUGACAAACGAAGGGAAAAAGCGAAGGGGAACAAAGAUCACGAAAAAGAAGUUCACAGAAAGAUUGUCUGCAAGCUUAAAAUAACAAAAGUGACGACACUGACCAGUAUGUUAGCACAACGUCAUCAAGGGCACAAAGGAUCACCGGCCACACACAUGCUCGGAGGUUUUACUUGGACACUUGCGAUACCGUUUCUCGCUGUGCUGGCCAUGUGUGCUCAGGGUGCAGCAGGAGGAAGUUACUACGGUUUCAUCCAUUACACAGCGGAGCCCAUCACCCAAGAAUAUUGCAAACAAUUUGUCUGCGAAAAUACUGUAUGUCCUGGCUAUUGUGCGUGUCCCAGAGGUUUGAACAGAAUUUUUACCUUUGGCCUUCUACACUGUCAACUACCCUGAAGUCUUGUUGGCAUAUGAAAUAAUGUAAAUGGCAGUGAUGGUCCA